GACGAACGCUGGCGGCGUGCCUAAUACAUGCAAGUAGAACAGUUUCGAACGGGUGAGUAAAGCGUAGGAACAUGCCCAUAACUAAGGGAUAACCCAGCGAAAGUUGGACUAAUACCUUAUGGUUAUGGAUGGGGAUGCGUCUGUUUAGCUUGUUGGCGGGGUAACGGCCCACCAAGGCAACGAUCAGUAGGGGUUCUGAGAGGAUGAUCAGCCACACUGGAACUGAGACACGGUCCAGACUCCUACGGGAGGCAGCAGUGGGGAAUAUUGCACAAUGGGGGAAACCCUGAUGCAGCCAUGCCGCGUGUGUGAAGAAGGCCUUCGGGUUGUAAAGCACUUUCAGCGGGGAGGCGUUACUCGCAGAAGAAGCACCGGCUAACUCCGUGCCAGCAGCCGCGGUAAUAC
rnacentral:rRNA from 1 species